rnacentral:tRNA from 1 species
GUGCGCGUAGCUCAACUCGGAAAGAGCAGCAACCCACUAAGUUGUAGAUGCGAGUUCAAAUCCCGCCGCGCACU